CAGGUCCUAGCAUGCACCGCGCUGCCCUGCCUCAGGGGCCAGAGGCAGGUCACAGAGGCCCCUCCCAUGGCAUGGCCUGCAACCCUGGCCUCUCACAGCCACGAGGCAGUGCGCCGUAGUGCCCACUGCUCCCUCAGCCCCGUGCCAGCCGAGCCGGGAUCCUCCACACACAUUUUUCUCCAAUUCAAAAUACACCAGAAGUUUUCCUGACACUGUGGGGGCCUAGGGCAGCACGGAUUCAGUCUAAGCUGGAGGCAAAAACAGAUAUAAUCUCAUUGGCACAAGUGAGAAGCCACAUGCGGGACUGUGAAAUAGGAGUUCGGUGACCAGGAACAGCCAACGCAGCAGAAAUAAAGGGGAGCUCGAUGUGGGGGGAUGUCAAUUCCGUUACAAGGGACGUCAAGCCCGUUAAAAGGAAGAGAGAGUCGUUAACACCUGGGGAAUGAAGAGUGCGGAAGGGAUGUGGGAGAUGAUGACGAGCUGACUGGAAACGGUGCCGGGUGGUUUCAAACUUUGGGAGCAGCAGGCAUCUAAGGCUACAUCUAGAAUAGACUGAAACAGGCGAAUCGCGCAAGACGUUUAGACCGGCUGGCCGUGCAAAGUAAGACCAUUCACACGUAUGAGCUUUUCAGAUAGAUAUUCCCUUUAUUCCAUUUGUACCAGCUGCUGCUUUGACACCUCAUGGCUUACACUUCUCUCCCUUCAUUUGGUUUAGGACAGAACCACUGAACUGAAGCAAAAACAUCAUCUUUUCCCCCUUCAGUCCCUCAGCAAUGUCACCCAGGUCCUGCAUUUCAACACAGAUAAUGGCUCUCUCUCUUUCCCCACCAGUGGGCUUGUUGACAGCUUUCAGGUGCUGGCAUUUAAAACAAACCAAAGGUCUGGAAAUUCCCUACUGCCAUAUGCCAGUAUAAUCUAGUAUGACAAAGCUCUUUUGGGGAUUACCUUCUCUGUAGAAAGCACUCUUCACAUCUCUCUCUCUCUCUCAUAUACUCAUCACAGGCAGCUUCACGCUCAUAAUUAUGCAGAGGGACAAUCCAAAUGUGUGGGAUGGCUUAUAAAUUGGGACAUUGUUAUAAGCAUAGCUACUGUUUUUUUCAAGAGCAAGCAGCCUGUGUUUGGGAAUAAGAAGAACCAAAGUUUUGCUGAUGAUCUCAUGGGCACAUGCAGAAGCAGCAAAAGCCCUGUCUGAAACCAAAGCUGAUUGUUUCCUACUUGCCACUUCCCUCACUCACAAGAAUAAGCAAUGCUUGCAGCACUGGCUCUCAAACCUGCAGAAAGGCAAGUGGCUUAAAAAACUUUUAAUUGUUUCCUGAAGGAGGAAAAUUAAUGGUAGAUAGAAAGCGAUUGGAGAAAGAGAUCCACAAAGGUCACCUUUAUUAGUAACGAUUUUUGUCUGGUAUUCAGGAAGAAAGGCAAGAGUCAUGCAUCCUGAAAAUACCACUACAGGAAGCUCUGCACACCCGGGGUAUCACCCCCCACACCCCCUUCACAGAGCCGUUGAGCUGACUGUCUUGCUUAAUGAUCAAAUGCU